rnacentral:rRNA from 1 species
UACGGAGGGAGCUAGCGUUAUUCGGAAUUACUGGGCGUAAAGUGCACGUAGGCGGCUUUGUAAGUAAGAGGUGAAGCCAGACGCUCAACUCUGGAAUUGCCUUUUAGACUGCAUCGCUUGAAUCAUGGAGAGGUCAGUGGAAUUCCGAGUGUAGAGGUGAAAUUCGUAGAUAUUCGGAAGAACACCAGUGGCGAAGGCGGCUGACUGGACAUGUAUUGACGCUGAGGUGCGAAAGCGUGGGGAGCAAACAGG